AUAGUACUGUGAAGGAAAGGUGAAAAGGACCCCGGGAGGGGAGUGAAAGAGAACCUGAAACCUUGUGCCUACAAGCACAUAGAGCCCGUCAAAGGGUGAUAUGGUACUUUUUGUAGAACGGUCCGGCGAGCGAUUGUACGUUGCGAGCUUAAGGUCUUAAGGACUGGAGGCGUAGCGAGAGCGAGUCUAAACAGGGCGUUUAGUAGCGUGCAAUGGGCCCGAAACCGGGUGACCUACCCAUGAUCAGGCUGAAGUGAAAGUAAAAUUUCAUGGAGGGCCGAACCGACCUCCGUUGAAAAGGCGGCGGAUGAAUUGUGGGUAGCGGAGAAAUUCCAAUCGAACUCGGAGAUAGCUGGUUCUCCCCGAAAUAGCUUUAGGGCUAGCCUCAUGUUAGAUAUCCGGAGGUAAAGCACUGAAUGGCCUAGCGUCCGAGAGGAUAGCGAAGCCUAUCAAACUAAGAAUGCCGGAAUAUUGAUGCAUGGGAGUCAGACAGUGUGAGAUAAAUCUCAUUGUCAAAAGGGAAACAGCCCAGAUCUACAGCUAAGGUCCCAAAUUGUAUCUAAGUGGAAAACGAUGUGGAAAUACGCAGACAACCAGGAUGUUGGCUCAGAAGCAGCCACUCAUUUAAAGAGUGCGUAAUAGCUCACUGGUCGAGCGUCUCUGCGCGGAAAAUUUAACGGGGCUAAGAUACAAACCGAAGCUUAGGCUGCACUUUUAGUGCGGGGUAGGGGAGCGUUGUGUAAGCGGAGAAACAGUAGCGGAAGCGGCUGUGGAGUUUACAGAAGUGAGAAUGCCGGAAUGAGUAGCGCGAAUGAUGUGAGAAUCAUCAUGGCCGGAAACCUCAGGUUUUUGGAGGAAGGUUCGUCCGCUCCAAGUUAGGCGGGAGCUAAGGUGAGGCCGAAAGGCGUAGCCGAUGCACAGACGGUAGAGAUUCCGUCCCCACCGAAAGAUUUAAGCGCAGGGACACUUUUAGAAGGUCGGAGCCAGGUGUUGGUUCUGGUAGAGAUCGAGGGAAGAUUAGUACCGAAGUCCGGCUGGAUAAGAGGCGAGAAAAGCUGCGUGUAUAUCUAAGGUGCCCGUACCGCAAACCGACACAGGUAGGUAGGAAGAAGAUUCUAAGGCCAACGGGAGAAGGGUUGUUAAGGAACUCGGCAAGUUGACCCCGUAACUUCGGAAUAAGGGGUGCUCACGAGAGUGAGCCGCAGAGAAUAGGCCCAGGCAACUGUUUACCAAAAACACAGGUUUGUGCUAAAUCGAAAGAUGACGUAUACGAGCUGACGCCUGCCCGGUGCUGGAAGGUUAAAAGGAGAUGUGCAAGCAUUGAAUUGAAGCCCCAGUGAACGGCGGCCGUAACGAUAACGGUCCUAAGGUAGCGAAAUUCCUUGUCAGGUAAGUUCUGACCCGCAUGAAAGGCGUAAUGAUUUGGGCACUGUCUCAACAGCCCGCCCGGCGAAAUUGUAGUACCGGUGAAGAUGCCGGUUACCCGCGACAAGACGGAAAGACCCCAUGGAGCUUUACUGUAGCCUAAUAUUGGGUUUCGAUGUUGCAUGCACAGGAUAGAUGGGACACUGGGAAACAGGAGCUUUGGCUUCUGCGGAGUGGCCGUUGGGAUACCAUCCUUGCGAUAUUGGAAUUCUAACCUGCGGCUCUGAAUCGAGUCGGGGGACAUUGUUAGGUGGGCAGUUUGACUGGGGCGGUCGCCUCCUAAAGAGUA
rnacentral:rRNA from 1 species